UUUCCGUAGGUGAACCUGCGGAAGGAUCAUUCAUAAUAAAGUGUUUUAUGGCACUUUUUAAAAAUCCAUAUCCACCUUGUGUGCAAUGUUAGAUCUCAUCAAUCUUGGCGAGAUUUUUAUACAUCAACUCAUUCUUUAACUAAUUUGUCUGAAAAAUAUUAUGAAUACUUAAUUCAAAAUACAACUUUCAACAACGGAUCUCUUGGCUCUC
rnacentral:misc_RNA from 1 species